rnacentral:rRNA from 1 species
AUGAUGAGGAUAAGGCACUACUUCUUAUUUCGUUGCCACCGUCCUAUGAGCAUUUGGUCAUUACAUCGACACAUGGAAAGACAACCGUCAAUAAUGAGGAAGUCACUGCAGUGUUGUUUGGACAUGAGUUGUGGAAGCAAAAGAAUGCUACAGAGGAGAUUACUCAAGGUUUGGGCUUGGCAGUUAAAGGUUACCAGCUUAGGAAGGGACAAAAGGCGGAGAAGAAAAAGAAGAAAAAGGUGCAGCGCUACAGAUGCAAGGACUGGGGACAUGUAA